AAGAAGAGUCAGGACUUGACUGAACAAUAAUAACAAAGUUUGGAAUGAAGGCUUCCAGCUUUUGCCAGCAUUGAGAUGAUCACAUAAGUAUCUUCCCAUAUCCCAAGAAUCUUCCUAGAAUAGAAGAGAAAAAGAGCAGAGAAUCAAGUGAAUUGAUAUUUCAGAUCAAAGGAUUGCAAGGGGCAUUGAAGAUCAUCUGGUCCAUUUUACAGAUAAACUAAGGCCCAGCCUGCCAAAAAACAGAUGAAGAUUAGCUGAAAAGGGGAACUGAGACAUUAAAGGAUUCGUUGGUGCCAGGAGAGGGCAGCAGAAACCUUACUCCAAACAAGACAACUGAGCCUAGUUUUGCUCAGAAGAGGAAGAAAGACAAUAUGUAAAUGAGUGUUGGUGAUGGACAAACUAAGCUACUACCUUGUGAGCUUUGACAAGUCAAAGAGCACCAUACCAGAGUUUCCCAGCAGCCAAACCUAAUAAAGAGUACAGCCCUGAGGAGUGACUUGUGAGGAGUGACCAGCCAAACAGUGGGACCAUGAUCAUGAUCCUCCAAGAAGAUCAUAAAUGGUAAUUACUUCAUUGGGCAUGAAUUGGAUUUCAGUGAUGCAGAGCUGCACAGAGUUGUCGGCCUCACUCUAUCCUCCAGAGUCAUCACAGUCCAGUGGCAAGAGAAAAGUCAAGACAGCUGGCAGUGGCCCAGGAUGCGGU